rnacentral:rRNA from 1 species
UUAAGCGACUAAGCGUACACGGUGGAUGCCCUGGCAGUCAGAGGCGAUGAAGGACGUGCUAAUCUGCGAUAAGCGUCGGUAAGGUGAUAUGAACCGUUAUAACCGGCGAUUUCCGAAUGGGGAAACCCAGUGUGUUUCGACACACUAUCAUUAACUGAAUCCAUAGGUUAAUGAGGCGAACCGGGGGAACUGAAACAUCUAAGUACCCCGAGGAAAAGAAAUCAACCGAGAUUCCCCCAGUAGCGGCGAGCGAACGGGGAGGAGCCCAGAGCCUGAAUCAGUGUGUGUGUUAGUGGAAGCGUCUGGAAAGGCGCGCGAUACAGGGUGACAGCCCCGUACACAAAAAUGCACAUNUGUGAGCUCGAUGAGUAGGGCGGGACACGUGGUAUCCUGUCUGAAUAUGGGGGGACCAUCCUCCAAGGCUAAAUACUCCUGACUGACCGAUAGUGAACCAGUACCGUGAGGGAAAGGCGAAAAGAACCCCGGCGAGGGGAGUGAAAAAGAACCUGAAACCGUGUACGUACAAGCAGUGGGAGCACGCUUAGGCGUGUGACUGCGUACCUUUUGUAUAAUGGGUCAGCGACUUAUAUUCUGUAGCAAGGUUAACCGAAUAGGGGAGCCGAAGGGAAACCGAGUCUUAACUGGGCGUUAAGUUGCAGGGUAUAGACCCGAAACCCGGUGAUCUAGCCAUGGGCAGGUUGAAGGUUGGGUAACACUAACUGGAGGACCGAACCGACUAAUGUUGAAAAAUUAGCGGAUGACUUGUGGCUGGGGGUGAAAGGCCAAUCAAACCGGGAGAUAGCUGGUUCUCCCCGAAAGCUAUUUAGGUAGCGCCUCGUGAAUUCAUCUCCGGGGGUAGAGCACUGUUUCGGCAAGGGGGUCAUCCCGACUUACCAACCCGAUGCAAACUGCGAAUACCGGAGAAUGUUAUCACGGGAGACACACGGCGGGUGCUAACGUCCGUCGUGAAGAGGGAAACAACCCAGACCGCCAGCUAAGGUCCCAAAGUCAUGGUUAAGUGGGAAACGAUGUGGGAAGGCCCAGACAGCCAGGAUGUUGGCUUAGAAGCAGCCAUCAUUUAAAGAAAGCGUAAUAGCUCACUGGUCGAGUCGGCCUGCGCGGAAGAUGUAACGGGGCUAAACCAUGCACCGAAGCUGCGGCAGCGACGCUUAUGCGUUGUUGGGUAGGGGAGCGUUCUGUAAGCCUGUGAAGGUGUGCUGUGAGGCAUGCUGGAGGUAUCAGAAGUGCGAAUGCUGACAUAAGUAACGAUAAAGCGGGUGAAAAGCCCGCUCGCCGGAAGACCAAGGGUUCCUGUCCAACGUUAAUCGGGGCAGGGUGAGUCGACCCCUAAGGCGAGGCCGAAAGGCGUAGUCGAUGGGAAACAGGUUAAUAUUCCUGUACUUGGUGUUACUGCGAAGGGGGGACGGAGAAGGCUAUGUUGGCCGGGCGACGGUUGUCCCGGUUUAAGCGUGUAGGCUGGUUUUCCAGGCAAAUCCGGAAAAUCAAGGCUGAGGCGUGAUGACGAGGCACUACGGUGCUGAAGCAACAAAUGCCCUGCUUCCAGGAAAAGCCUCUAAGCAUCAGGUAACAUCAAAUCGUACCCCAAACCGACACAGGUGGUCAGGUAGAGAAUACCAAGGCGCUUGAGAGAACUCGGGUGAAGGAACUAGGCAAAAUGGUGCCGUAACUUCGGGAGAAGGCACGCUGAUAUGUAGGUGAAGCGACUUGCUCGUGGAGCUGAAAUCAGUCGAAGAUACCAGCUGGCUGCAACUGUUUAUUAAAAACACAGCACUGUGCAAACACGAAAGUGGACGUAUACGGUGUGACGCCUGCCCGGUGCCGGAAGGUUAAUUGAUGGGGUCAGCGCAAGCGAAGCUCUUGAUCGAAGCCCCGGUAAACGGCGGCCGUAACUAUAACGGUCCUAAGGUAGCGAAAUUCCUUGUCGGGUAAGUUCCGACCUGCACGAAUGGCGUAAUGAUGGCCAGGCUGUCUCCACCCGAGACUCAGUGAAAUUGAACUCGCUGUGAAGAUGCAGUGUACCCGCGGCAAGACGGAAAGACCCCGUGAACCUUUACUAUAGCUUGACACUGAACAUUGAGCCUUGAUGUGUAGGAUAGGUGGGAGGCUUAGAAGUGUGGACGCCAGUCUGCAUGGAGCCGACCUUGAAAUACCACCCUUUAAUGUUUGAUGUUCUAACGUUGACCCGUAAUCCGGGUUGCGGACAGUGUCUGGUGGGUAGUUUGACUGGGGCGGUCUCCUCCUAAAGAGUAACGGAGGAGCACGAAGGUUGGCUAAUCCUGGUCGGACAUCAGGAGGUUAGUGCAAUGGCAUAAGCCAGCUUGACUGCGAGCGUGACGGCGCGAGCAGGUGCGAAAGCAGGUCAUAGUGAUCCGGUGGUUCUGAAUGGAAGGGCCAUCGCUCAACGGAUAAAAGGUACUCCGGGGAUAACAGGCUGAUACCGCCCAAGAGUUCAUAUCGACGGCGGUGUUUGGCACCUCGAUGUCGGCUCAUCACAUCCUGGGGCUGAAGUAGGUCCCAAGGGUAUGGCUGUUCGCCAUUUAAAGUGGUACGCGAGCUGGGUUUAGAACGUCGUGAGACAGUUCGGUCCCUAUCUGCCGUGGGCGCUGGAGAACUGAGGGGGGCUGCUCCUAGUACGAGAGGACCGGAGUGGACGCAUCACUGGUGUUCGGGUUGUCAUGCCAAUGGCACUGCCCGGUAGCUAAAUGCGGAAGAGAUAAGUGCUGAAAGCAUCUAAGCACGAAACUUGCCCCGAGAUGAGUUCUCCCUGACUCCUUGAGAGUCCUGAAGGAACGUUGAAGACGACGACGUUGAUAGGCCGGGUGUGUAAGCGCAGCGAUGCGUUGAGCUAACCGGUACUAAUGAACCGUGAGGCUUAACCUU